rnacentral:rRNA from 1 species
UACAGAGGUCUCAAGCGUUGUUCGGAUUCAUUGGGCGUAAAGGGUGCGUAGGUGGCGCCGUAAGUCGGGUGUGAAAUUUCGGAGCUUAACUCCGAAACUGCAUUCGAUACUGCGGUGCUUGAGGACUGGAGAGGAGACUGGAAUUCAUGGUGUAGCAGUGAAAUGCGUAGAGAUCCGGAGGAACACCAAAGGCGAAGGCAGUGUCCUGGGGGAGUACCUGACGCUCAGGUGCGAAAGCCAGGGGAGCGAACGGG